AAACACACACACACACACACACACGAGAGCAUCUGCACAUGCUUAAGUAUACAUUGCUUCAUUACCUAUGAUAGUUGUAUUACUGGUUACAUGGUAGUGCUGCCUAGUUUGAGCUCUAUGCUUGUACCAAGCUAGCCAAAUGGUUUGUUAGAUUGUUUCAUAAAUAUACUAUUGCACACACACACACACACACACACACACACAAAUAAAUGUGUAUGUUCUGACAGAAUUGUAUAUCAUGUUUAUGAUUGUUUAUUGAAUUUAGUGAUAAAGAAUCUUCUUCAGUUCUGGAUCCUUAUAUAAUGACUAUAAAUCACAGUCCUUGAUGUACAAGACAUACACCUAUACACACAUAUACAUACAUACAUACAUACAUGUAUAUAUACAUGCAUACAUGCAUACAUACAUACAUACAUACAUACAUACAUACACUGUUUCCUUUCCAACUGUAUAUCACUGAACACGUAAGUUGUUAGUUGAAGCUAUAAGUAUGCUUAUGUAUAUGUGUAUUUAAGCUAUGGGCAUGCUCAAAAACACAUAUAUACACACACACAUGUAUCCUCUUAUGAAACGCAUAAUGUUUGCAUUUGUAAUUCAAAAUUAAAUGUUUCUGUUUUGUUACCAAAAUUUUAAAAAAAAAUUCCUUUC